rnacentral:tRNA from 4 species
AUUCGCCUAGUAUAUCAGUACAAGUGACUUCCAAUCACUAAGUUUUAGACAUCAACUAAAGACGAAUA